GCCCUGGUAACCAAAAUCUAGGCAGGGUGUGCAGCCUGCUGGAGACUCUAGGGGGUGCUGUGGUGUCAUUGUGGAAGCUGACGUUCAUCAUGGUGGAUUUCUGAUUUACAGAGGCAACAAUGGAGCUGUUUACCAUGGUUCAGACCUGAAUUUUAUCAGCAAGGAUGUUUCUGGUAUCAAUGUAAGGUCUCUGAAGGCAGCUAAAGAAUCCGAGUCACAUAGUAUAUGAUGGAAAGAGGUCCUGACUGGGUAGUACGAUGAGUCCCAUUAAGUAUGGAACUGCUCAUAAUGGCUAUCUAUAGUUUGCAUUACAGCACUGACAUUUUGUAUAGGGAAAUUUCAUUAAAACCACAAGACUACAGAAGACUAGAGGGAAUUGUUCAUUUUGUUGACUGAACAUGCAAUCUAUUUUAUAGAGGCUGUUAUUCCAAUGCAAGACUUCCUUCUCCAACUAAUAUUAGUUGUCCUUAUUUUCUUCAUCUUUGUCUGAUGAUAUGCAUCUUGGAUUUAAAGUAAAAAAAAAAUAUGGAGAAUGUCUGAGACCAGAAAUUGCAAUUAGACUGUUGCAUCUUUUAUAGCCUAAUGAUGCUGUACUUUGUUGGUAUCAAAGUAGAUAUGUACUCAUCUGCCUAUUAUAUUAAUAAAGUUACCUCAUCUUUCUUGUUCAUUUUAUAAUAGCCCCUUGUCUUCAACUAAUGGAAGCACAUAACACAAGUAAAUGUGAUUAGGUGGCAUGUUUAAUUGUGCAUAUUUAGAUGAUAAUGGCAUAAAAUUCUGUAUGAACAUCUACUUUACCCUUUAGUUAUGAAUAAUAAUGCCUUCUUUUUUGCUCGAAGUCUUAUGUGGGUGUCAUUGCAAUGUAAAGUUCAAAGAAGACAGUUUGUUCCUUAUGCUCAUGUAAAACUGCCAUACAUUAUAUGAAGUGUAUAUUGUACACAACUGUCUAGAGCGAAUGUUUGCCUAAGGCUGGUAUUCAUAGUCACUUGCAUAAAUCCGAAAAGGAUAUUCCAUGGGGAUACUCCUGACACACAGUGAAAGUGAGAUUCACACAGGUCAUUUACACUAAUGUGAAAGGUCAUUUACACUAAUGUGAAAGGCUUUAAAACUGAUGAGGUGCAAAUGAGAAAUGUUGUAAAGUGUAGUAUGCUAAUUAGGGGGGUUAACAAUUCAUAGUCCAUUGUUAAAAGUGAAGUUGCCUUUGAUGCUCUAUUAGCAAUUCAUGAACUUGCCCUCAGUCAUCCUUUUUGUAGUUUGUCCAGGUAUGCACAAGCACUUUCAUAACACAAUAAAUCAGACAUCUGACCAUGUAUACACAAGCACAUCUCUGACACACAAAUUAUUUCUUCAGCAACCCCUUCAACAACCCCUUCAACAGUAUGUCCAGGUAUGCACAAGCACCAAAAUGAAACAUUCACCCGAGUGACCCCCUCAGUCAAAUGUCCAGGUAUACAUACUCACCAAAAUGAAACUUUCAUCCAAGCAACCUCUUCAGUCAAAUAUCCAGGUAUACAUAACUCACCAAAAUGAAACACUUGACCAAGCGACCCUUUCAGAUGAAUGUCAAGCACUAACUGAUCCCCCCCUCACAUCUCUGUGUUCUAGUGGAAGACUGCUGCUUACUGGUGUAAGUUCAGGGCUAUUUACAUACUUAGUAUGUAAAUGAGUUUAUUCUAGAUCCAAGUCUAUGAAUCGUACUAAUACACAUAUUUGUAAGGCCCCGUAUCAGCAUAUUCACUGCCCCCCCCCAACACUUAUAAGUUAAGUAUGCUAUGCUUUUGCAAUAGGGGGAAUGUUUACAACUCAUUCAGAUGCAUGUAUUCAUGCAGAAAGUCUGGGAUUUGCAUAUCCAAGUAGCAUCACUCUUUACAGAUCACCGCUAUAAAAAUACGAAGUCCCGGACUUAUGAAUACCACCCUAAAUAUUUUGAAAAAUGAUACAAGGUGUAACACAUCAAAAUAAUAAAGUAAGACAAGAAUACAUUGUGUACAUUAGAUUUAUUAAAACUGUGGACAACAGAAAUAAAAAUUUAGCAAGAACAACUAGCACCACAUUUUACCAGUAUUAACGAGAUAAUUUGUCUGACUGCAUAGCUGUAUGUGUGUGGGAAACUGGAAGCCAGUACGAUAAGACGACUCAUGUAUAAUUUUCUUCUUCCCAAACAAACUAAUGCCAAAGGUAAAAUUAAAACAGUGCUUGAAAUUCCAUCCACACAGAACAGAUGAAACUAUUUUGUUUUCA